GACGAACGUUGGCGGCGUGCUUAACACAUGCAAGUCGAACGGAAAGGCCCUGCUUUUGUGGGGUGCUCGAGUGGCGAACGGGUGAGUAACACGUGAGUAACCUGCCCUUGACUUUGGGAUAACCUCAGGAAACUGGGGCUAAUACCGGAUAGGAGCUCCUGCCGCAUGGUGGGGGCUGGAAAGUUCCGGCGGUUGGGGAUGGACUCGCGGCUUAUCAGCUUGGUGGUGGGGUAGUGGCUUACCAAGGCCUUGACGGGUAGCCGGCCUGAGAGGGUGACCGGCCACAUUGGGACUGAGAUACGGCCCAGACUCCUACGGGAGGCAACAGUGGGGAAUAUUGCACAAUGGGCGGAAGCCUGAUGCAGCAACGCCGCGUGCGGGAUGACGGCCUUCGGGGUGUAAACCGCUUUCGCCUGUGACGAAGCGUGAGUGACGGUAAUGGGUAAAGAAGCACCGGCUAACUACGUG
rnacentral:rRNA from 1 species